AGGAGCAAGACUUAAACCUUGAGAUGAUGGGGAGCACCACCCCUACAUCCUUUCAGUCUUGUAUAAUGGCACUAAUCUUUGAAAUUCUCCUUGGAUGAGCCAUCCCAGCAGACUGUGAGGACUGGAUUCAGGUGUCUUUGCCAAAUAAUUGGAUCCUGAGUCAUAGGUAAGUGCUGCCAAGUGGCUCUGCUAUGCCGGGAUUCCAGCAUCCUCACUGAAACCAGGGGACCCAUUGCAAAGGCAGCGUCAGCCUGGUCUGCGGAGGACAAGGAUCACAAAGCUAUUCUAGGAUGCUGAGGGUCAUCUCGCCAAUGUAUUGCUAAUGCCCUGGUGAAGGAAGUGUCUUCUGAGCCGUCCAGGAUGAUGGCAUGAGGGUGGGCAGGGGCGUUAGCAUACAGGUCACUUACGAUAAAUCUACUCCAACAUCCACCUCCUCUGAAACCUUCAAAUGCCCUCCUCUGCCUUAUGUGGGAAAGUUCCGCAUCUCCAUCUCAGUGAACGCAGGCCGCCAUUGAACCCAAGUUCUGCCAACCAACCAGGCAAACCAUUAGAACCACUUCUGGAUGUGAAAGACAACAUGUUACAUCCAUAAUCUCUAGGAAUGCUACUCCUUUCAAUUUAUUUGACUCAAUGCAGUUAUAUAACAAAGUAUCUUAAGGAGCUGGUUAAACAGAUAUCGAAAGAUGGAAAAGGCAAAAGGAAAACAUUGACAUAGCACAGAAACAAGAGCACAGAAAGGAGCUGCCAUUCCAAGGGCUGGGAACAAAGGACCGAGGCCAGACUGAUGAAGCGUGGAAAGCUCCGUGCCACAGGAAUCCGGCCUCUGUGGAGGGGGCUGGAGGCGGGCGUUUCUGCAGGGGGAUGUGGACAGGCCCAGAACACGAAACGGGAAGGAGCUGGUUGUUCCUCCUCCUCCAGGCUUCCAGUCUCCCUCUAGUGCUCCCUUUCGGAAAAACCUAACAGGGAGCCUGCUGCUAAAACAGAAGUACAGCUCAGAGAGCAUCACAAAGCAAGGAUAUACAGAAAAGUGGGCUUGGAGCUGAGAAACAACAGCCUAGUAAGCAGCAAGGUGCCCCUCAGACUGGCACAGAGGCAGCUGGCUCAACCUGACCUUAUUUGGGUUGCCCAGUGCCGGGAACAGGUCCAGUCUGCUCCAUACUCCUUAUGCCUCGAAUUGUUCCCGUAUCCCCUAAGAUCUAAUAUGUGUUACACCCACAGCACAUGCCACAGCCUCAGUUUCCCCCAUAGCUCAUCCCAAUUAACCCUAGAUGAAAGCCUUAUGAUUCAGAUGCUGCUGCAAGCAGGAGUCAUCGCCACCUCCACUGACCACCAGCCGCAGGGUCCCUAUUGACAUCGGACCAGAGAGAAACACCACUCCAGAAUCCUCUCCUGAAGGGUCUGCUUUCAACGGUUAUCCCUGGUGCCAGGGGUUCUCAGCUGGGUUCUCCAGAGCUUAGAGCCUGAGGCAAACCUUCCUCUGUUGCCACUUUAUCUGAGAGUACGAGCCCAGGAGGGAAGGAAAACGGGAAAGAGGCAGGGGAGCAGGGAGAGUCACCCCGAGGUAUGUUACUGAGCAUGCUUGAGCCAAUGGGAUGCUUGACUCUGCAGGAUCCUGGGAAUCUGUGAACUACUACGUUUCAGGACAGACUGGGGGAUGGUGGGAGCGAGGGAGGUACAUCAUUUUUCUGCUGGCUCCCGUGUCCCUUUGCUGUAAGAUUCCCUCUCUGUGAUUCUCUUUAAGAUUCACUUUCCUGCAAUUCUGGUUUGAAUGCACAGGUGCUGAGCCCCUCCUAGAGCAUCCAGUAGCCACAGGCACCCUGGAGGCAGGAGGUGAAAGUCACAUGGCCUGGGCAAGGGACGAGGCACUGCCUGGUUAGAGUGAGCCAUGGUUCGUGCUGGAGCGGUCACCGUAGGAGCAGCCAGGGGAAGUGGCCUCCACUAAUGAAGCUUAACAAUGUGCCAGCUGUCAAAGGAGAAAUGUUCCAAUGUCAUAAGCAUGACAAUGAAGGGUGGAUUUGGAGCAGAGAGGACUACAUUGAUACAUUGUUAAUGGUAUAAACUAAUGAAUCCAUAAUUACAUCAAAUGUAAGUAAACUAAACGAUCCAAUUAAAAGCAAAGAUUUUCAGACAAUUACAACUAGGCGCUCUUUACAAGAAACAUCUUUAAGAAGCAAGGACACAGAAGAUAUGAAAACAAAAGUUUUAAUCUCAAUUACUAGAAAUAAAGAAGGACACUUCAUUACAGUAAGAAGUUCAAUUCAUAAAAAAUUUCUAAUUAAAAAAAUU
rnacentral:lncRNA from 1 species